CUACGGGGGGCACCAGUAAGGAAUAUUGGUCAAUGGACGCAAGUCUGAACCAGCCAUGCCGCGUGAAGGAUUAAGGUCCUCUGGAUUGUAAACUUCUUUUAUUUGGGACGAAAAAGGGUCUUUCUAGAUCAACUGACGGUACCAGAUGAAUAAGCACCGGCUAACUCCGUGCCAGCAGCCGCGGUAAUACGGAGGGUGCAAGCGUUAUCCGGAUUCACUGGGUUUAAAGGGUGCGUAGGCGGGUAGGUAAGUCAGUGGUGAAAUCCUAGAGCUUAACUCUAGAACUGCCAUUGAUACUAUCUAUCUUGAAUAUUGUGGAGGUAAGCGGAAUAUGUCAUGUAGCGGUGAAAUGCUUAGAUAUGACAUAGAACACCUAUUGCGAAGGCAGCUUACUACGCAUAUAUUGACGCUGAGGCACGAAAGCGUGGGGAUCAAACAGGAUUAGAUACCCCAGUAGUC
rnacentral:rRNA from 1 species